GUCUUGGCUGUAAACGGUGCGCAUUUGCUGUAAACGGAAUCGACCCCGUUUGUGGCGAAGCUAACGCGAUAAAUGCGCCGCCUGGGAAGUACGGUCGCAAGAUUAAAACUCAAAGAAAUUGACGGGGGCCUGCACAAGCGGUGGAGUAUGUGGCUUAAUUCGAUGCAACGCGAAGAACCUUACCUGGCCUUGACAUGCAUGUGGUAGAACCAUGAAAGUGGGACGAUCCCGCAAGGGAAGCAUGCACAGGUGCUGCAUGGCUGUCGU
rnacentral:rRNA from 1 species